rnacentral:tRNA from 1 species
GCCACCCUAGCUCAGUUGGUAGAGCAAUGCACUCGUAACGCAUAGGUCGCCAGUUCGAUCCUGGCGGGUGGCUCCA